GUAUGCGGAAUCUUGUCCUUUCGGUCAUGACCCAAAGCUCAUGACCAUAGGUGAGAGUAGGAACGUAGAUUGACUGGUAAAUCGAGAGCUUCGCCUUGCGGCUCAAGCAUAAGGGUGUCCAUCAGUGCAUGUGGCACCAGGACACCCUAGGCCGCAGGUCGAUGAUCGAAUUUGUUAUCGUCUCAUCUGACCUGCGGCCGAAUGUCUUGGACACUCGGGUGAAGAGAGGGGCGGAGCUGUCAACUGAUCACCACCUGGUGGUGAGUUGGAUCCGAUGGCGGGGGAGGAAGCUGGACAGACUCGGCAGGCCCAAGUGUACUGUAAGGGUCUGCUGGGAACGUCUGGCCGAGUCUCCUGCCAGAGAGAUCUUUAACUCCCACCUCCGGCAGAGCUUCGACUGGAUCCUGAGGGAGGCUGGAGAUAUUGAGUCCGAGUGGACCAUGUUCUCCACCGCCAUUGUCGAAGCGGCCGCUCGGAGCUGUGGCCGUAAGGCCUCCGGUGCCUGUCGAGGCGGCAAUCACCGAACCCGGUGGUGGACACCGGAUGUAAGGGAUGCCGUCAAGCUGAAGAAGGAGUCCUAUCAGGUCUGGUUGGCUUGUAGGACUCCUGAGGCAGCUGACGGGUACCGACAGGCCAAGCGGGCUGCAGCCCGGGUGGUUGUGGAGGCAAAAACUCGGGCCUGGGAGGAGUUCGGUGAGGCCAUGGAGAAGGACUUUCGGCUGGCCUCGAAGAGAUUCUGGCAAACCAUCCGGCGCCUCAGGAGAGGGAAAAAGUGCCCUACCAAUGCUGUUUACAGUAGAGGUGGGCAGCUGUUGACCUCAACUGAGGAUGUCAUCGGGCGGUGGAAGGAGUACUUCGAGGAUCACCUCAAUCCUGCUGUCACGUCUUCCAUUGAGGAAGCAGAGGAUGACGGCUCAGAGGUGGACUCGUCCAUCACCCGGGCAGAAGUCACAGAGGUGGUCAAGAAACUCCUCUGUGGCAAGGCACCGGGGGUGGAUGAGAUCCGCCCUGAGUACCUCAAGUCUUUGGCUGUUGUGGGGCUGUCUUGGUUGACACGGCUGUGCAACAUCGCGUGGCGGUCGGGGACAGUGCCUCUGGGAUGAUUUUUAUGGACAGAAUUUCUAGGCGCAGCCAGGGGCCGGAGGGUGUCAGGUUUGGGGACCACAUGAUUUCGUCUCUGCUCUUUGCGGAUAAUGUUGUCGUAUUGGCCCCUUCAAACCAGGACCUUCAGCAUGCACUGGGAUGGUUUGCAGCCGAGUGUGAAGCGUUUGGGAUGAAAAUCAGUACCUCCAAAUCCGAGGCCAUGGUCCUCAGUCGGAAAAGGGUGGCUUGCCCACUUCAGGUUGGUGGAGAGUGCCUGCCUCAAGUGGAGGAGUUUAAGUAUCUAGGGGUCCUGUUCACGAGUGAGGGAAGGAAGGAACGGGAGAUUGACAGACGGAUCGGUGCAGCUUCUGCAGUAAUGCGGUUGAUGUAUCGGUCUGUCGUGGUGAAGAAAGAG
ensembl:lncRNA